rnacentral:rRNA from 1 species
UUAAUGAGUUGUGAUGGGGUUUGAUGCUGGCAGCCAAUAUUUCUUUUUGUUUUGUUGGAUGCAUGUGCUUGCCCUGACAAUCAUAUUCUAAACACCUGUGCACAUUUUUGAGGGAAUCAAGUUGAUUUGCUGUUUUUGUUGGUGAUCAUCUUGCAUACCCUUAAAUUGCUAUACGCUGUCAAUAAUGCUGAACGUGCUUGUGCCGCAAGGCCAUUAAUAUAAUAUAACUUUUAACAACGGAUCUCUUGGCUCUCGCAUCGAUGAAGAACGCAGCGAAAUGCGAUAAGUAAUGUGAAUUGCAGAAUUCAGUGAAUCAUCGAAUCUUUGAACGCACCUUGCGCUCCCUGGUAUUCCGGGGAGCAUGCCUGUUCGAGUGUCGUGAAAUUUAUCAAGCUUGGAUGGAUUUUUUUCUGUCCUUAGAUUGGUUGUUGGGCUCUGCCGUGUCCUUCAUUGGAAUGGCUGGCCUUAAAAGCAUUAGCUGAUCCUUGUGUGGCACUGGUUCUACUCAGCGUGAUAGUGGUCUGAUCGUUGA